UUAAGGGAGCCCGGCCGCGCCCGGUGCAUUGUGGGAGCGGCCCGCGGCCCGUUUUCGGGAGGAGGCGGAGGGCGCAAAGCGAGCCGGUGGAUCCAUAAAGAACCCAGCCAACCCGCAGAGGGAGGGGAGGGGCUGAGCUGUGAGGAGAGCGGGGCCCAAGAACCAUGUCUACGCGGGAGUCCUUUAACCCGGAAAGUUACGAAUUGGACAAAAGCUUCCGGCUAACCAGAUUCACUGAACUGAAGGGCACAGGCUGCAAAGUGCCCCAAGAUGUCCUGCAAAAAUUGCUGGAAUCUUUACAGGAGAACCACUUCCAAGAAGAUGAGCAGUUUCUGGGAGCCGUUAUGCCAAGGCUUGAUAGAGAAAGCAGAUAAAAGCAGACUUGCUUUUGUUGGAAAGGAAGAAAUGUUACACCC
rnacentral:lncRNA from 1 species